UACGAAGGGGGCUAGCGUUGCUCGGAAUUACUGGGCGUAAAGGGCGCGUAGGCGGACAGUUUAGUCAGAGGUGAAAGCCCAGGGCUCAACCUUGGAACUGCCUUUGAUACUGACUGUCUUGAGUUCGGGAGAGGUGAGUGGAAUGCCGAGUGUAGAGGUGAAAUUCGUAGAUAUUCGGCGGAACACCAGUGGCGAAGGCGACUACCUGGACCGGUUCUGACGCUGAGGCGCGAAAGCGUGGGUAGCAAACAGG
rnacentral:rRNA from 1 species